CUAGACAGAUGGGUUAUGGUUAGUAUUAUAGGUGUGUUACUGGACAGAUGGGUUAGUAUUAUAGGUGUGGUACUGGACAGAUGGGUUAGUAUUAUAGGUGUGGUACUAGACAGAUGGGUUAGUAUUAUAGGUGUGGUACUGGACAGAUGGGUUAGUAUUAUAGGUGUGGUACUGGACAUAUGGGUUAGUAUUAUAGGUGUGGUACUGGACAGAAGGGUUAGUAUAAUAGGUGUGGUACUGGACAGAUGGGUUAGUAUUAUAGGUGUGGUACUGGACAGAUGGGUUAGUAUUAUAGAUGUGGUACUAGACAGAUGGGUUAUGGGUUAGUAUUAUAGGUGUGGUACUGGACAGAUGGGUUAGUAUUAUAGGUGUGGUACUAGACAGAUGGAUUAGUAUUAUAGGUGUGGUACUGGAAUGAUGGGUUAUGGGUAGUAUUAUAGGUGUGGUACUAGACAGAUGGGUUAUGGGUAGUAUUAUAGGUGUGUUACUGGACAGAUGGGUUAGUAUUAUAGGUGUGGUACUGGACAGAUGGGUUAGUAUUAUAGGUGUGGUACUAGACAGAUGGGUUAGUAUUAUAGGUGUGGUACUGGACAGAUGGGUUAGUAUUAAAUGUGUGGUACUGGACAUAUGGGUUAGUAUUAUAGGUGUGGUACUGGACAGAUGGGUUAGUAUUAUAGUUGUGGUACUAGACAGAUGGGUUAGUAUUAUAGGUGUGGUACUGGACAUAUGGUUUGGUAUUAUAGGUGUGGUACUGGACAGAUGGUUUAGUAUUACAGUUGUGGUACUAGAAAGAUGGGUUAUGGGUAGUAUUAUAGGUGUGGUACUAGACAGAUGGGUUAUGGGUAGUAUUACAGGUGUGGUACAAGACAGAUGGGUUAGUAUUAUAGGUGUGGUACUGGACAGAUGGGUUAGUAUUAUAGGUGUGGUACUGGACAGAUGGGUUAGUAUUAUAGGUGUGCUAAUAGACAGAUGGUUUAUGGGUAGUAUUAUAGGUGUGGUACUAGACAGAUGGGUUAUGGGAAGUCUUAUAAGUGUGGUACUGGACAGAUG
rnacentral:lncRNA from 1 species